CCCCUAGAUGUUCUGGGCCGCACGCGCGCUACACUGAACAGUUCAACAAGUCUUAACCUUGGCCGAUAGGUCUGGGUAAUCUUUGAACGCUGUUCGUGACUGGGAUAGACCUUUGCAAUUAUGGGUCUUCAACGAGGAAUUCCUAGUAAACGCAAGUCAUCAGCUUGCAUUGAUUACGUCCCUGCCCUUUGUACACACCGCCCGUCGCGCCUACCGAUUGAAUGGUCCGGUGAAAUCUCGGGACGGCGGCUUGGUCGCUUGCGUCCGACUGCUGAAACUUGAUUAAACCAUAUCAUUUAGAGGAAGGUGAAGUCGUAACA
rnacentral:rRNA from 1 species